rnacentral:misc_RNA from 1 species
AAAAAAAAAAAAAAAAAAAAAAUCUAAUGCACAGUCAAUUAACAUUUCAUUUUUUGAAGGGGUUCAUGGGACUUUAUGCAAAUGGAAGUUCAUUUUUCACUUCUCACAGCAUCUGCUAUUAUUCAAGGACAAUUGUGGACGAGUGAAAGUGGCAUCUUCAACAAGUUUUGGCAAUGACUUUACUGAAGGCCAAAUUCAUGCUGGAUGUUACUUGUGAAUGUCAAUCUUCAUUAGAGGCAAAUUUCCACAAUUCAUUCUUGAGGACAAGAAUGGUUUCAAAGGGGAGGGUAAUGUUGUGACUAAAAGUUCAGUGUUACUGAUUAGUUUGAAAGUCAGUUAGUCAGUUAGAAGCUAACUGUAAUAUUGAAUGGCGGGAAUUGUAUUACUGAAGAUAAAUAGAGUGUUCUGUACAUUGAAGAAUUCAUUGAUCAAUAAUAAAAGAAUCUGUUUUCUCUCUUUAAUUUCUCUCUCUCUAUCUUUCUAUUCUCUCCCUAUCUUCUAUUCUCUUAUCGAUACUUCUUUCCUUUCUUCUUCUGCCCUCUUCUUCUCUUCCUCCUUCUUCCAAUUCUUGUUCAAUCAUGGAGAAUGAGCCAUCAGGUUGGGUGAAUGAGUCUAUAUCCUAACAACUUGGUAUUAGAGCAGUUCGAUUCAGAGGACCCUAACAGAUCUGAAAUUGGCGAGAAAAAAAAGCAAGGGAUGGUGUUGCAAGGGCAGAAUGUGGCAUUGCAACUUGAGGGAUGCAUGCAAUCCUUGGAGAAGAAAUUUCAAGAUUCGAGUUAGGAAUGGCGUCAAGAACUGCAUGCAUCGAGCAUUAGGAAUCACGAAGAUAACUUGGAGCUUUUGCAGAAAAUGAUCAAAUUAUGGAGUUUUUUCAAGCUUCUCAACCAAAAGUCCAUAAUUCUGAGGCAUCUUGGAGUGAGGAUCGUGAAUUGAGAUUACCAAUUCAAGAUGGUAAAACAGUUGAUUUCAAGGAGAGAAAUGGGUACAAUCUUGAACAAAAAUAGGAUAAGAAAUUGGUCUCUAUUUGGUGUGACCUUUCAUUCAAUCCAACUCCUUCUGUUCAAUUUAAAACUCAAGGUGACAGGGAUAUUGAUGCAAACUUCAAGAACGAUGCUUUGAAACCCAUGAACAGGUUUGGUUUAUAAUCCCAAGAAAGUCAAAAUCAAGUUCAAACACAAAAAAAUACCUUGACCUAUCAAUCAUAUUGAAUUGAAAACCAAGAUAAUUCA